AGUGAAGUGGGAUGAGCUCAGCACCGAAGCCGGCCGUCGAGAGGUGGUCGUGCAAUGUGGUGUUCUGGGAGGGCUCUGUCCGUGUGCGACUUUGGUCCAAGUCUCCUGGAAAGGAGUUCCAUGGAGGGUGACAGGCCCGUGCGACCAAUAGCCGUGUUCACGGACGAGUCCUCUUUCGAGUCGGGCUGUUCGCUAAUGCAGCCCUAAGCAGGUGGUAAGCUCCAUCUAAGGCUAAAUAUAACCACGAGUCCGAUAGUCGACAAGUACAGUGAUGGAAAGUUGAAAAGUACUCUGAAGAGAGAGUCAAACAGCCCGUGAAGCUGCCCGUAUGGGAUUAAGCGCACAUGCGGCGCGUGUCGUUGGACAAAUAGGCGACUUGCUGUGCACGUCUAGCCGUACUGUAUUGUAUGCACAUUUCGUGUGUAUAUGAUGCACUCGGAACGUGUCAGCAGAACGCUUCCCUUUGUUCGACAUUGACAGGUCGAGGCUUCGUUGUCUGCGGUCUUAUUGCUGACACUUAUCCACAGAGCCGUACUGGGCGGCCGGCAACUUUUGUUGUCGGACGUGUUCCGCUGACUUUUGGUCCUUCGUGGACACAGCGGCCGGUUUGGUCUGUUGGUGCAAUGGUGUGUGCGAACGACUGGACGACGGCCAACGCAUUCGAACAGCAAUGUUCGGCUCGGCCUUUGCGCUGUCAUGUGCGGCCCGUCUUGAAACACGGACCAAGGAGUCUAACAUGUGAGCGAGCGAUUGAGAUUGUCGAAUCUCAAACGCGCAAUGAAAGUGAAGUGUCGUCUGACCGACACGAGCGGUGAUCUGUCGUUGUGUGCGCGCAUUCGUGUAUGGAACGGCAGCGCAACCGCGGGCCGCGCCAUGGGCUGGCUUGCUCUUUUCGGAGAGCACUGCUCAGGCGCGGACCUAGAGCCCACACGUUGGGACCCGAAAGAUGGUGAACUAUGCCUGGUCAGGAUGAAGCCAGAGGAAACUCUGGUGGAGGUCCGCCGCGAUUCUGACGUGCAAAUCGAUCGUCCGAACUGGGUAUAGGGGCGAAAGACCAAUCGAACCGUCUAGUAGCUGGUUCCGCCCGAAGUUUCCCUCAGGAUAGCUGGCGCUUGUCUGAUACGGAGUUUCAUCCGGUAAAGCGAAUGAUUAGAGGAGCUGGGGUCCUUGCGACCUCAACCUAUUCUCAAACUUUCAACGGGUGAGACGUCUCGCUGGCUUCAGUGCAGCGACGACUCAUAAUGAAUCCGAGUGUCCAGUGGGCCACUUUUGGUAAGCAGAACUGGCGAUGCGGGAUGAACCGCAUGUCGAGUUAAGGUGCCUAAGCGAACGCAAAUCAGAUACCAUGAAAGGUGUUGAUUGCUCACGACAGCAGGACGGUGGCCAUGGAAGUCGGCAUCCGCUAAGGAGUGUGUAACAACUCACCUGCCGAAGCAAUCAGCCCUGAAAAUGGAUGGCGCUAAAGCGUUCCACCGAUACUCGACCGUCGUCGGCAUGCGACGGCAUGUCCGUCUGACGCCACGACGAGUAGGGCGGCGCGGCGGUGAGCGUUGAAGGUGUGACCGUGAGGUCAACUGGAGCCGCCGUCGGUGCAGAUCUUGGUGGUAGUAGCAAAUACACAAGCAAGAUCCUUGUGGACCGAUGUGGAGAAGGGUUCCGCGCGAACAGUAUUUGGACGUGGGUGAGUCGGCCCUAAGCCAACGGGUAAUUCCCGCAUCCCGAUAUUAGUACACAGCUGAGAUUACACAUAAUGGGUUGAU
rnacentral:rRNA from 1 species